UACAGAGGUCUCAAGCGUUGUUCGGAUUCAUUGGGCGUAAAGGGUGCGUAGGCGGGUCUUUAAGUCAGGGGUGAAAUCCUGGAGCUCAACUCCAGAACUGCCUUUGAUACUGAAGAUCUUGAGUUCGGGAGAGGUGAGUGGAAUGCCGAGUGUAGAGGUGAAAUUCGAUAGAUAUUCGGCGGAACACCAGUGGCGAAGGCGACUCACUGGCCCGAUACUGACGCUGAGGCACGAAAGCGUGGGGAAGCAAACAGGGAUUAAGAAAACC
rnacentral:rRNA from 1 species